GACGAACGCUGGCGGCGUGCUUAACACAUGCAAGUCGAACGGGGACGCGAGUGCUUGCAGCCGUGGGUUAGUGGCGAACGGGUGAGUAACACGUGGGUAACCUGCCCAUCACUCUGGGAUAAGCACAGGACACGGUGUCUAAUACUAGAUACGAACAAUCCUCGUUUGGGGGGUCGGUGUAAGGAUUUAUCGUUGAUGGAUGGACUGGCGGCCUAUCAGCUUGUUGGCGGGGUAUUGGCCCACCAAGGCGACGACGGGUAGCCGGCCUGAGAGGGUGACCGGCCAAACUGCGACUGAGAUACGGCCCGGACUACUACGGGAGGGAGGGGAGGGGAAUAUUGCACGAUGGGCGAAAGCCUGGUGCAGCGACGCCGCGUGAGGGAUGACAGCCUGCGGGUAGGAAAGCACAUUCAGCAGGGCAGGAGCGAUAGUGACGGUACCGGCAGAAGAAGCACCGGCUAACUACGUG
rnacentral:rRNA from 1 species